rnacentral:rRNA from 1 species
AAUAGAUACCCUGGUAGUCCACGCCGUAAACGUUGGGAACUAGAUGUAGGGACCAUUCCACGGUUUCUGUGUCGCAGCUAACGCAUUAAGUUCCCCGCCUGGGGAGUACGGCCGCAAGGCUAAAACUCAAAGGAAUUGACGGGGGCCCGCACAAGCGGCGGAGCAUGCGGAUUAAUUCGAUGCAACGCGAAGAACCUUACCAAGGCUUGACAUAUACCGGAAACGGCUGGAAACAGUCGCCCCGCAAGGUCGGUAUACAGGUGGUGCAUGGUUGUCGUCAGCUCGUGUCGUGAGAUGUUGGGUUAAGUCCCGCAACGAGCGCAACCCUCGUUCUAUGUUGCCAGCACGUCAUGGUGGGAACUCAUAGGAGACCGCCGGGGUCAACUCGGAGGAAGGUGGGGAUGACGUCAAAUCAUCAUGCCCCUUAUGUCUUGGGCUUCACGCAUGCUACAAUGGCCGAUACAAAGGGCUGCAAUACCGCAAGGUGGAGCGAAUCCCAAAAAGUCGGUCUCAGUUCGGAUUGAGGUCUGCAACUCGACCU